AGUUCCAGACAAAUUGCAAUUGCAUAAAUAAUUAAUGGAAUGUAAGGCGAUGAAAUAACCUGCUUGCAAUAGACUCAAGAGAUUUAGAAAGAUUAAUUGAAGGUUAAUUACCACCAAUCUCUUCUGAGUAAGCUUAUCGAUCUUAGCAUCAGGGUUGAAAAAGAAAACUGGCUACCAAAGGGUCAUGUAUUGGUAUCACAUCUGGUGCAUCUACUCCGAACAAGGCUGUUGAAGAUGCUUCUAUGAGGGUGUUUGAGAUCAGACGCGAAGAAUCACUUCAGGUCACAUAGAGAAAAUUAGGUAGGAGAAAGAUUAAAAUCAUUUGGAUCGAAAACACAACAAAUUAACAGGUGACAUUUUGUUACAAAGGAAUAUUAAAGCAUUUAAACAAGUCGGCGGAAUAUAUGUGGUGACUGAUGAUCAUGAUAAUGAUGAAAACAUGGUUAAAAGAAAUAAAAAAAGGUGAGCCCAUUCUCAAUGAUGGUCAGUUUCAGAUCUUAACAUCACACAAUCUCCGGCCGGUAAGCGUUUUACCAUUACGUUUUGUUAGAUAGAUAAUUCGUAUUUUAUAAUUACAACAGUUAACUUUUGAAUGGUUAAAAAUUAAAAGGUUUGAUGUAGUUGUACAAAUAACGAAUGGUUGAUCUAAGAGCUCAGUUUAUGAUUUAUGAUUCUAGAACCAAACAAAGACAGGUACGCAGCAUGUCUCUUAACAACUUGCAAGACUAAUUUAGGUUGAAUUAAAUUAAAUUUUACCUUUAGGUUGACUAAUUGUUUUGCACCACCUAUGAAUUAUAAAACUUUUAUUGUAUCAUUUUAAAUUAUAAGUUUACUUUACCCAUUUUUAAUGGUUGUCAGGGUAUGUGAGUCUCAUGUGAUGAUACUGGAAAAUCAGUCAUGUCGCCCAAGAUGAUGGCCCGGGUCAAGCUUCAAGGUACACACAAAGUGACCUUAGCACAAACUUUUGACACAAUGAGAGUAGAGUAGUGCAUCAGGUAUAUUUAAUGACCAAAAGAUCCAUUUAGACAAUGAGUUUUUGAAGCAUGAAAUCGGCAUUUGGUAGUUUUGCUUGAGAAAAAAAUGCUUAUGGGAUAAUCAUUUUAUUAUUCUGUUGCAUUGUUGAUGGUUACUAAUAUAUAUUUUUUUCAUAUACUUUGUUCUCUUUCAUACUGGUACAGUGGCCAAAAGAUUUAUCUUGGUAGGGGUAUUAGACUUAUUCAAUUCAAUUCAAAGUUAUAUUUAUAUAAUGUGGACUCUAUUUGUUUUUUUCAUUUUAAUAUUGUUUCCAAAUCUGUAGACUUUCUGUUUGCAAAUUUCAAAUGUAAGAGGUACUUUCAUAACAAGUUGAAGCCUUCAAAGCUUACAUGGACUGAUAUGUAGCGAAAGCAGCACAACAAGGUGUGAGAUGUUUGCUGAGCUAAAUGUUUUAUAAUAUGUUAACUGUUAGAAUUCGUAUGAUUUUGUCAUAAACAGAACUACUCACUUGAAAAAAAAAAUAUGAUACUUACAAUGUAUUAAUAUUGU